rnacentral:rRNA from 2 species
UAACAGUUGGAAACGACUGCUAAGACUGGAUAGGAGACAAGAAGGCAUCUUCUUGUUUUUAAAAGACCUAGCAAUAGGUAUGCUUAGGGAGGAGCUUGCGUCACAUUAGUUAGUUGGUGGGGUAAAGGCCUACCAAGACUAUGAUGUGUAGCCGGGCUGAGAGGUUGAACGGCCACAUUGGGACUGAGACACGGCCCAAACUCCUACGGGAGGCAGCAGUAGGGAAUUUUCGGCAAUGGAGGAAACUCUGACCGAGCAACGCCGCGUGAACGAUGAAGUAUUUCGGUACGUAAAGUUCUUUUAUUAGGGAAGAAUAAAUGAUGGAAAAAUCAUUCUGACGGUACCUAAUGAAUAAGCCCCGGCUAACUAUGUGCCAGCAGCCGCGGUAAUACAUAGGGGGCAAGCGUUAUCCGGAAUUAUUGGGCGUAAAGGGUGCGUAGGCGGUUAAAUAAGUUUAUGGUCUAAGUGCAAUGCUCAACAUUGUGAUGCUAUAAAAACUGUUUAGCUAGAGUAAGAUAGAGGCAAGUGGAAUUCCAUGUGUAGUGGUAAAAUGCGUAAAUAUAUGGAGGAACACCAGUAGCGAAGGCGGCUUGCUGGGUCUUUACUGACGCUGAGGCACGAAAGCGUGGGGAGCAAACAGGAUUAGAUACCCUGGUAGUCCACGCCGUAAACGAUGAGUACUAAACGUUGGGUAAAACCAGUGUUGAAGUUAACACAUUAAGUACUCCGCCUGAGUAGUACGUACGCAAGUAUGAAACUUAAAGGAAUUGACGGGACUCCGCACAAGCGGUGGAUCAUGUUGUUUAAUUCGAAGGUACCCGAAAAACCUCACCAGGUCUUGACAUGCUUCUGCAAAGCUGUAGAAACACAGUGGAGGUUAUCAGUUGCACAGGUGGUGCAUGGUUGUCGUCAGCUCGUGUCGUGAGAUGUUGGGUUAAGUCCCGCAACGAGCGCAACCCUUAUUGUUAGUUACCAGCACGUAAUGGUGGGGACUUUAGCAAGACUGCCAGUGAUAAAUUGGAGGAAGGUGGGGACGACGUCAAAUCAUCAUGCCCCUUAUGACCUGGGCUACAAACGUGAUACAAUGGCUGUUACAAAGGGUAGCUGAAGCGCAAGUUUUUGGCGAAUCUCAAAAAAACAGUCUCAGUUCGGAUUGAAGUCUGCAACUCGACUUCAUGAAGUUGGAAUCGCUAGUAAUCGCGAAUCAGCAUGUCGCGGUGAAUACGUUCUCGGGGUUUGUACACACCGCC